AUGUCAUGCGUGUCACAGCACGUCACAACCCAGCCAAGCCAGCCCCACCUUUCAUCCCCACCCCCACUCAGGCAUUCAGUGUAGCCUGAAGCCAUCAAAGGCUGGAUACACACAAAGUGCACACCAAACUGCAGGUUAAGUUGUGGGACUACAGGUGUGGCUUCUGUGAGAACCUUCUAGAGGGUUAUAGCUACAGCUUGAGCAGCUCUCGUGCUGACACAGUUCACAGUAGAGUGGAAGAUCUGACUGUGGUGUGUCCAAGUGUGUGGUACCAGUAAAGGUCCUCUGAACCCUCACUGUUGUUUCGGAGGAGUGUCCACCCAUCCUUGACUCCCUGGGGACAAAAGCUCACUCCGGGAGUCAGAUCCAAAGAUGAAGAGGGCGUGGCAAGGAGCCUGGAACUCGAGACCACAUGGACAAUGAAUGCGGUCUCUUUUUGAGACAGUCCAACCCUCUGGAAGUUUUACCCUGUGCAAAUAUGCCAAUAAAUGGCAUCUUGAGCAGA